rnacentral:tRNA from 1 species
UGCCUGAUGGUGUAAAGGUAGCACAGGAGAUUUUGGAUCUCUUAGUCAUGGUUCGAAUCCAUGUCAGGCAA